rnacentral:rRNA from 1 species
GAUGAACGCUGGCGGCGUGCUUAACACAUGCAAGUCGAACGGUGAAGCUCCAGCUUGCUGGAGUGGAUCAGUGGCGAACGGGUGAGUAACACGUGAGCAACCUGCCCCUGACUCUGGGAUAACAGCCGGAAACGGCUGCUAAUACCGGAUAUGCACCAUGAACGCAUGUUCUGUGGUGGGAAAGAUUUUUCGGUUGGGGGUGGGCUCGCGGCCUAUCAGCUUGUUGGUGAGGUAAUGGCUCACCAAGGCGUCGACGGGUAGCCGGCCUGAGAGGGUGACCGGCCACACUGGGACUGAGACACGGCCCAGACUCCUACGGGAGGCAGCAGUGGGGAAUAUUGCACAAUGGGCGAAAGCCUGAUGCAGCAACGCCGCGUGAGGGAUGACGGCCUUCGGGUUGUAAACCUCUUUUAGCAGGGAAGAAGCGAGAGUGACGGUACCUGCAGAAAAAGCGCCGGCUAACUACGUG